UACGUAGGGUGCAAGCGUUGUCCGGAAUUAUUGGGCGUAAAGAGCUCGUAGGCGGUUUGUCGCGUCUGCUGUGAAAACCCGAGGCUCAACCUCGGGCCUGCAGUGGGUACGGGCAGACUAGAGUGCGGUAGGGGAGAUCGGAAUUCCUGGUGUAGCGGUGAAAUGCGUAGAUAUCGGAAGGAACAUCAGUGGCGAAAGCGGGUCUCUGGGCCGUAACUGACGCUGAGGAGCGAAAGCAUGGGGAGCGAACAGG
rnacentral:rRNA from 1 species